rnacentral:tRNA from 1 species
GCCUGGGUGGCUCAGUUGGUUGAGCAUCUGACUUUGGCUCAGGUCAUGAUCUCACGAUUUGUGAGUUCGAGCCCCACAUCUUGCU